AGUGUGUUAAAGCUAUUCUGAUAUUGACUGUAGUUCUGAGCUUUGUCUCUAUCCCACUAAACCACUAACUUCUGGAAAUUAAUUGUAGACCAAGAUGAGAGGACUCUGUGUGUGGCUCCCUCUUGUCAUGUGACAAAGAAACUUCCUAAAAUACUAAAAGCUAAAGGAGAUUGUUAUCUAAGCUUGAGAUGGAAGGUUGCCAGCAGAAACGUGGAGGAUCACAGCCAGUUGCCUGGGAUUGACCAUAGGGAGUGGCAGGGGCAGAAAGCAAAAGACCAGUUGCAAUUAUCCAGGUAAAAGAUGCAGGCUGUUGCAAUAAUCCAGAAUCCUGAAUUGAGUCUGUGUUCCCAGUUCCUAGAAACCCUCAAGGUUAUUGGUUUCCUCCUCGCUUAAUAGAACAAUGGAAGAAAUUUACCUCCAGUUCUAUCUUCACAUGAGCAACUAUUUACAAUUUACAACAUUACUCUGAAAAUCAAUUCUUUUCAAGUUUUAUCUAACACCCACCAGAAGAAACAGAAGAUUAUGAAAAUGGAAUUUGUCAAAGUUCCUCUCCCAACAAUAUGAUAUUUAAUUUUGCUAACAUUUUUUUUGAACACUUACUAUAUUGCAGACAAUGGUAUAAGUAAAGCAUUUUAUGUGCAUCUUAUCAUGUCAUCAUCACACAGCCCUGUGAGGUAGAUACUAUUAUUAUUAACCACAUUUCACACUCAAAAAGACUGAGCCUUAGAGAGACUAAUUGUCCAAGGUCACACAGCCAUGAAGUGGCAGAGCUGUGGUUAAAACCUAUGUCUGUCUGAUGUUUAAGAUUUUGCUGUUAGCAUUACUUUGAAAUGACAAUAUGAGGGCAUUUUAUGUAUUUUUUCCCCCAAUAUGAUCUGCAGAAACUAUGUAUUUUAAGUACUACAUUUCUUUUAUUUACCAAAUUAUUGUCAGAUAAGAAACUGAAAUAAAAGUUUACAGGGUCUAGGAUUCCUCCAUAAUGAAUGAACUUUGGGGUAUUUCAGUGAGAAAUUGGCUUUAAUGUGAUCAAAUUCCAUCCUACAAUGAAAGUGUGUUAGUUUGUGGUUUCAAGUUUAAAAACAGCACUAUAUUGUCUUCCAGAAAUAUAUAAAUAGAAAUUCAAGAAGUAUUUCAAUGAAUACAGAUAAAAUUAGUUUUGUAAGAACAUCAAAUAUGUGGGUUUCAUUUCUUAGCUCGGUUUAGAAACUGUAAUUUCAAUUUUUUUUUAGCAGCUGUGGUAAAUUUUGAGAUUUGAAAUUUCAUAUAAUAUAAAUCCUCAUUUAUUGAGCAUUUAAAUUAUAUGCCCAACAAUUUACUGUGUACAUUACUUCACUUGUUCUUAACUAUAACUCUAUAAAAUAUUAUUGUCCUUGAUUUACAGAUGAAGCUAUUGAGACUCAGUUAAGUAACUUGCCUGAAAUUCAAAAAUGUUAACUGUAGAAGGCAGUAUUUGAACCCAGUGUUCAAAACCCCAUGCUCUUUUUAUUAUAUGACCUUCUUUCCUGUUCAGUCUUCAGAAGAUAUAUUGUCUUAUUAGAUUAUUCUCAUUCUCUAAAUAAGGGACCUUGGGCAACUAUCUUUUUCUCUGGUAUUUUCCCCUGCCUUUAAAACAAUGUGAUCAAACUGGAAGUUUUUCAUGAUCUGUCUUGGCCCUAAAGCUCCUUGGUUCUGUAAUUCCACGAAUAGCCCAUUUCAAAGAUAAUUCUACAGUCAUCAGUGGGACUUCUGUUUUUCUCAUCCUUUUUUUUUUUUGAAACAGAAAAUUGAAACUUUUAAAUUAGUUUAGUAAAUACAUCUACUAGUUUUUUUCUUUUAUAAUCAUGAUUAUAUUAUUUGGUCCUUCUUAGUUGCAACAUGUUUCCUCACUGUCAAUUAUAAUACUUCUCAUCAACAAUAACCUGAAGAAAUAGAUUUGAAUUGCUUUCCCUAAUUUAUAGCUGGAAAACUAGGCUAUGCUGGUAUCUUAAAUUGACUUUCCUGAGGUCAUGGGCACUCAGUGCCAAGAAGAGUUGGUACCUACGCAUUUGAAAUUUCUGGAUUUCUGGUCUUACUCUGUACUUAGUCACUCUUUUCUUUCAUUUGGCCCAAUGGUGGGCAAACUACAGCCUACAGGCCAAUUCCAGCCUACCAUCUGUUUUUGUAUGGUCCAUGAACUAAGAAUGGUUAUCACAUUUUAAAAUGGUGGGAAAAAAAGACUAUUUUGUGACAUAAAAAUUAUAUGAAAUCCAAA
rnacentral:lncRNA from 1 species